CUGUGCGUUCCUCGCCGCAGGGCCAGGCGGGGGCCGAACGGCCGUGUGGUAUUCGGCUGCCUGCUGGGCUGCACCACAAUAAAGUGGAAAGAGCUGUGGUCGCUAGAUGGCGAUAAAGAAUCGAUAAGGGCUUUCCUGUUCAACAGGGAAAGUUUGUAGGAGCUUGGCCUAGAUUUGCCCUGGGAGAAAGACCUGGAAGAUACUAGAGAAACCAUGAAAAUAAGUAUGCAAUCAUUCUGCUUGGCAAUUGGGAUUUGUGUUGUUAUUGUCUGUUUCUUAAAAAAAAUCAGAUAGGUUGGAUUUAUCAAGCAGAAAAGGACGAUCAAAUUAAAAGUGUAAUUCUGAGUAAGAAGAGGAAGCUCAGCCUUGCUAGCGCGGGUACUCGGAGUACUGACGUUUCACUACACUGGGGUUUCAGUGUAUUACCCUGAGUCUUAGGAUACAUUUUUAUUGUUUAGCGUGAUCAGGAGGCAAUCCAAAUCUGGAUGACCCUGCUUCCCUGGUGCUGUGUGUUUGUGGCUUCUCUUCCGCUACACUGGGGCUGUGUGUAUCUUCAUUUUGCUUGAAGGUUAAUCUCAUUUGAAGGCAGAGUUUUGUGUGUACGAACCUGCUCCGAAAUACUGUUGUGAUUCUUACGGGAAGCAGAAGGACCUUAGUGAAGAAGUUGAACUGCCAGUACAGCCUGCGGUGAGCUGACGGGGAGAAGCUGAGCGACCAGUUUCUGGAUUUGCCCACUGCUGUUUCUCGGUGGUUCUGUUGCAAAGGGCAACGUGGGAUCUCGGUACUUAAUGCUGGCUUUUAUGGGGUCUGGAUUUUCAAUUAUCCGGAGGGUAAAAGUCACCAGCUGAGAGCCAGCGCCAGGCCCCCCACCACUUCAGCAUGUUUAGAGAAAGAAUAAGCAGCAUAGUUCUUACAAACCUUACCCAGCUGUGUAACUUGCAAAGUACCUUAUGACUGGCAGCUCUUCAUUUGCUGUCGAAGGGCUUUCUGGGUUGCUGGAAUUGAGUCACUUCGGGAUAAAACUUGUCAGGAACUUGAGCCCAACUAUUAUUUUUGAAUUAUUAUUUAGAAAAAAAAACCACAAAACCUAAUCAAACUAUUGGAUAGAUACCCUACAGUAUAUGAACCUUUCUCCCAGCAAUUCCGAAGGAAAUUCAGUAAAUGUGCAAGUGACCUGUGGGGUGAGUGGCGGUGAUUUCGGAGCGGCGCGUGUCGCUCCGCCCGCCGGCCCGGGUGCUGCUGCCUCUGCUGGGCCGGGCAGGUGCGGGUUUCUCGUUGCGUCACCAUGAUUAAUUUAUAAGCUCUGAGGUGACACAUCAUGUUUAUUAUGGAGAUGACUUUCUCGAACGAGCUCCCUGAAAUAACCUCCAAGGCUUUGUAAGGAACCUUACCUUUGGUAAUUAAUUAUGCAAACUUACUUUUAAUAUAUCUUUAGGUAAUCAGAACAAAAUAAGACAGUUGUCUUUGUUAAUUAUAAUGAAAACUUGCUUAUGAAUAUUGUAAUUAUGCACAUUACUGUGUCGCUGUCACUCAUGGCUGGGGUACCUUUAGGCGGUAUUAUUUUCCUCUUAUUAUCAUCGUUAACAAAGGGCUAAUGAAAGGGCUGAAGUUAGAGCUGCUGCAGUGUAAUUGCAGAAAACAUGAUUUGCUUGGCCAGAUGAGACACUGACGCUGCUUUGACGUUUGCUGUCCCCUGGACCACAGCAACGCACCAUUUUGGUGUGCAGGUAAAGCAGAACUUCUUUGUGACCGCUUAAAAUUGCUUUUUAAGUAUUUGAGAGUACUUCCAUUUAUUUUUGAGAUAAGGCUGUAUGUACCCAUAUCAGCUAAACUAAGUUUUAGUGAAGUGUGCUCGCAGGUCGGGUUUUCUUUGAGGUGGUAAGUCACAAAGCUGAAGGUCCCCUGGCCAGUUCCAGAGAGCUGGACGCGUGUGACAAUUAAUGAUGGACUCAGAUGCAGCUUCCUGGUACCUAGCGAGGCCAGGCGCCUUGUCCUGCGGGAGCUGACCGCCCCGACGGGCCAGCUGCGACAUCAGGCCGGAGCAGCGUGUUUCUGCCUUUUGCUUUGCUGUUUUUGGAGGGGCGGGCAGAGCGAAGUAGGAGGGAAAUUGGCUCUCUGCUGCCUUCUAAAAUCAGGAACAAAACUAGCGAAUAAUAGUCAUAACUGAGUUCAAAUUUGAAAACUUGGAGGAUGGAGAAAUAACCAAAAACUCCUAAGAUUGCUUUGAAGUCUUGUUUUUAGGUCUGUUUUCAUUCCCCAGAUAUUUAAAACUGUGGACAGGGAGAGAGGAGACUGGUAGAAACAUAAGGGGUGGUGUUGGUCCUUGAUUUCAGAACCUGACCUAACUGGCUUUGAUCUCUGCGAGCAAACCUGCUUCCUGGGCGCGCGCAGGCGCGGCUGCCGCCCGGCGCACUCCAGCUUGCUGGCGCACUCCAGCUUGCUGGCGCACUCCAGCUUGCUGCCGCGCAGUUGGAAGCUACAAGUGUGAUGCCACUUCAGCUUUGUAGUUUGCCCUUUUAAUUCUGUCUGUUGCUAUGGUAGCGGCAGAUGAUUGCAAUCACUGCUGUUUAUGUUACAAUCUGAGUCACAUCAAUGGAGAGCUUGGAACCUAAACAAUAAAAAUCUGACUGAACUGUAUACUGCAUUUGUUGUUGUACAUAACCCAUUGUUCACAAUAAUCAGAAUUCAUUCAAAUAUUUUGUUUCUGAAACAUUUGGAAAAUUCCUUUAACUAAAGGGUUGUCAAAUUAUAAUUUAUUUUCAAUUCAUACUUACCCAGGGCUCUUCAUACAGCUGAACAAUAUUUCUUUUGCCCCGUUUCCUGAGUAUAUCCUUGAAAACAAUUAUUUUAACAGCCUUUCUAGUUUCAAAGAAAGGUUACUCUUUUUUACCUUGUACCAGUCAUAGUAGUCUUCUAGUAUCUAAAAUAAUAGGUCUUUAAAAAGAUAAUUCAGUACUUUCUCCCACACUUUGUCUGUCUCGUCAAUUUAGGUUACACAGGCUUUUUGAGGAAGGGCUGUGUGUUGUGCUUGUAUAAAGGAACUUUGUGAGCUACAGCAUUAACAGACUGUAGCGUCAGUUUUUGGUUGUUGAACAUCACCUGCUGAGCUUCGGAGAAGUUGAGAGCGAGGGAGGAGAGAGGAAGCCGGUCCGGCGCCCUGAGGGGCCUGGCGACGGUCGUGUCCCCUGCCCGCGGGAGCUGCCGCCACCGCCUCGCUGCGGAGUUCAUUUUGCGGACUGCAGCGCUGCCUUUGGAAGGGAAUUUAUCUAAUAUUGCAGCAAAACAGCGCGAAAUCCUGCGUUCCUGCGGUGUAGGGUCUGUUGGUCCUGGCUCCGGGGGUGAGGCGGGGCCGAGGGUCUCACAGCCGCAGGGUCUCAGGGCCGCCGGUUCGAUUCUCCGCUCCAGCACCUGCCGUGUCUCGGCCCGCAGGGCUGCGGCCGCUGCCCCGGUGCCUGCUGCGCAGACCCCGCACUCCCCGGCGCUGUCGGCGGCUCCGGGACGGCUGGGGCUCAUCUACUGGGGGGUGCACCUUUUCUUACAGAAAGUUGAAUGUAGAUGGUCUAAAUAGGAGGCUAGCAAGGCAAUUUGCUGUUUAAAUGACCCAAUGCACAUCGGGCAUAUUGAAGAAAAAAGCCAUUUCCUAGUGACUAAAUCUCAUUAAAAAAGCAAUUUUCCAAUCAAUUACAAUGCAAUUUAGCUGCUAACUGUUUAAUUAUCAAAAAAGGAGCUAUUUUGUUCUCUGUCCCUAUAUUUAUGAACCAUGCUUUAAAAUCUCAUCUUUAGAGUAGCUGUUUGGAGGGAUAUAACUGCUCUAUUGAUGCAAUUAUAUUAAAGUUAACGUUUUCAGUUCAAUGUAUUGUGUAAGUUCAAGGAAAUAUUGUUUGCACAAAAGCUUCUGAAAUAGGAGAUACAUUGAUUUCUACAAAAGCUCGGAUCUUUAUUAUUUUCAUGUACUAUGAAAAUUGUAUUAUGUAGGUUUUAUUAGAGCAGUUUGGUUGUGGGGUUUCUUUAUUUUUUUAUUUUAUUUUACUUUUAAUCCUGUGCAAGAGUUUCCGCCCGGGAACAUAAACUGAAACGGGCCAGGGCUGCUCUUGGAAGGACGGCUUCUGUCUCCGGAGAGACCGACGCGGGCAGGACUCAGACGCGAUCUGUAGGAGCUGGGAUGCUGGUGCCUGGUGGUGACUCCUUGUCCUGGGGUAAACAGCGUGGUGAAGGACGCGCUUUCGGGUCAGUUCUGAGAACAGGAAGACGUUGAAGCGGCAGUGGUGCCAUGUCUUGUCGUUUUUAUUAAAAUCUUGCAAUACUUGAUGUUUCUUCUUAAAGCUCCAGUUUGCAGAGUUAUCUGAGACUUUCAUAAUUCCUUUUUCUAAUGCUGUUUCAAGUCUUUGUAGUUUAAAGGAAUUCUCAAACCCGCAGAUUUUGCAGCCUUCAAGAAUGGAUUAAAAUGAAAAAGGAGGCAAACCUAUUGCUUCCUCACAGCUUCUGCUUUUUAAUCCUCUCUGGGGGUAGAUCCUGAGCGGGUGUAACCCAUGGUGGUACGUGACGCUCUCCCGGGCCUCUGGAAGCACCGGUAGCUGGUGCAGAGGUGGCAGAACUCGUGCUGUAACCCCGGCCCGGCCCCGGCGGGUGCGGGUGCCUGGUGCCGCCGCGCGUGAGCGAGCAGAACGGCUCGUGUAGCUCAUCUCGUGCCUCCUCUGAGCACGGGGAAUGGUGAGGCAAGGGAGCAGGGAGGGCUCUUAAUUAGGACAUAAUUAAAUAGGCAAUGCUCCAAGAUGACAUGGGUAUUAAACAGUUUAAUGGUGAUGGUGACUGGAUGUCUACAUUUUCUUCUUCUUACUCUCACAACUUUUAGAUUAUUGCAGGAAAGUUGUUGCAUAAAACUCCUAAACAGGUCAAGACUCAGGUCACUACGGUGUGGUGUGUAGCGACCGCUUUGCUAACGUCUGCGUGUGAGCAGCUGUAAGUGUGCGUAUAUAAAUAAAACGUGCAAACUCGCGUGUAUCCUCGCGAACUGAAAUGUGUUUUCGAAACAAUCAGUUACCAGCCAAAAUUUCACCAAAAAGCCAUUCUGCUCAAGUGAGUAAUGCAGGAAAUAUUAUUUGCGAUAAUUACAUACCUGAGUUGGAUUUACAAAAACACAAUUACUUUAUACGUAGUUUGGGAUGACUUUGAUAAACUUGCUCAUUUUGUGCUAUCAAUUUAGAGACGACAGGAAUAAUUUGUUUAUUGAAAUUACCAUAAAUAAACAAUGAGACAAGACCUAGAUUUAUGGUUUAAUAUUGUAAUUGGGUUUUCUGAGGAAAAAUAAGUCUUUUGAAAGAGUGAACUUGUAACUGUGUACGCAAAGAAGGUACAGUGUAUUGUAGAUGGCUUAUAAAGUGCCUGUCAGACUGUUUAUGUGGGAAUCGCAUUCAAUGCCAAGCUUACUGGGGAGAUACAAAAUUUAACAAGAUCCAUUGCAAAUUAGGUAAAAAAUUUAUAAAGGCUUCUGUGUAAGCACACGCGGAGCCGAGGCGGGAGGCGCAGUACGCUGCAGCCCGGCUGCUGAAGGGCUGGUUCCAGGCACGCGUGUGCGCACGUGUCCCUGGCACCCGUGUUCCACGCGGGGUCACAGCGCAGCGGCUGGCGCCAAAAAGGGUGUUUCAGAGGCCCUGCGCAGCGGAGUGGCCGGGGGACGGCGCAGCCCGCGGUGCGGGGCUGUUGGUGACGCUGUCCUGUCCCGUGCUGGUGCUCUGGCUGCGUGGGGCCUUUGCCAUGGCCACGCGCUGCUGGGCACAUGGCAGCGCUGCCAAACGGCCCGGGGACCCGGCUGUCGCUGAGCGGCCUUAUCAACGGCAUGGCUGCUGCUGGCACAGCUGCUUGCAGCUCCGUGCCCCGGUCCUCUGAGUCACCCCCUCACCCACGUUGUUAUUAGGAAUAUGUCAUCUUUGGAGAGGUUAUUAUUCGCAGUAAUUGCAGAGGGCAGUGUGUCAGACAUCAGUUUCGGCUAGUUCCCAUCUCCUGUCACCUACUGCUGCCCCUUAGAAAAGAGGUCUUGCCGAGGACAAAUUGAGUGGCCUUGCAGGUUAUUUGUGCUGUUUUGGGAGGACUUUGUGAAUGUGAAAAAUGGAGCCUCCACAUCCCUGCGGAUGGGAACGACUGAGCAGCUGCUUUGGGGCGUUGAUGACACCAAGUUCCCGGGCUCCUCACCGGAGCCUGCGGAGGUGCUGGAUGGGUACAGGGUCUGGCUUCAGCUCUUACUCUCCUCUGCCAUGAGCCACUUUUCUUGCAGUCAGGUCUUACAGUAUUUUCAAAGCUUUCAGUGUGCAGAGACUUGCCAAAUAGAUUUUUCAAAGUUGCCUCGUGCUACCUAAGAGCUGUUGAUUUCAGAGCAGGUGUGUUGGAGAGGAGGGCCUGCGCAGGACAGGGGGCUGUGGUGGCGUGGACACAUGCAGGCGCAUCGUGAGAAGCGCCAGAGGCCAGGAACGCGUUGCAAAGAGCGAGUUUUAUUGCAGUCCCCUCUCUCCCGGGGAUCUCACAAGCACCUGGGCCACCUUCGCUGUCUGAGGAGCAACCCGCGGGAGGAUGGGCCGUGCCAGGUGCCGUUCUCGCGCGCAGCCCGGUCCUGAGCACCCGGCGCUUCAGAGCUUCACUGCGGAGGGAAGAGUCAGCAAAAAGGACUUUGAGAAUGUCCUUUAAACUGGGGGGGAUCUGCUGAGAACAAAUCCCUGCCAAACUUUAUAACCUUUCUUGGCAGCUGAACAACAGCUGUUACAGUCUAGUGGUUACUGGAUAUUACAAACGUUAUUUCCAAACACUUGGCUAGCACCUGGGGAGAAAAUAUAUGCCUUGUGGUUGAGUAGCAUCUGAGUGCUUCCUUUCAGAGGAUGUACGGCUCUAGUGUAAUGAAUACAGCAAUCAUCAGGUGCUGGGAGAAAAGGACAAAUAUUGUCAUGAUUAAACUGUGAAGGUUAAAUGAAUCAUUUGAGAGGGCUGUGGUGUACUGACAUUAGACCUACUGGGGAACACAGAGGGAGGAAAAUGCCUUUCUCUGUGUUGUUGGUAGUGUUUUCUAUCCCAAAUAGAAGGCCUGUUUUAUGUAUUUUGGUACCCCUUACAAUGAAAAUGCUGCUGUUAUGCGUGUGUUCCUCCUUUAAAACUCCCUCAGCCCGAUGAACCGCCCCAUAGCUCCUACCGGUGCCGUGGGCGCAGCGCGCAGCGUGGCUCGGGUGUCCGGGAAGCCCAGCGGCCCACGGGGCGGAGGACACAGGCCCUUCCUCUGCAAGGGAGGCACCUAGGCUGCACCUAGGAAACGUCCCUGCCGGGGUCGCAGAACAGUGUCACCUGAAGGCGUAAUCUAUUUAAUCUGUUUGUCUUAUUGUGUUGCCAUUCAGCCCACAUAUUCAGUAUAUACUGAUAUUUCAGGCUGCAGUUUUGGCUUCCAUUUGAAUUAAAAAUAUUGUCUCUACCUUGCCAGUGAAGAAGUGCAGAAAAGCUCAUAUUGGCUAGCAAGGAGAGUUUUAUUUCAGAUGUGCAAGAAAGAAGGAAGACGCUCUGUAGUGGCUUGGUGUUGGGUACUUUUAUUCUUUUGUAGCUCCUUUGCAUUUGUUCACAGAAGCUGAAAACGUAAGCAAUCCCUUUCUCUGUCUGCGUGAAGACUGUGCCGUGUUUAUGGUUUGGAUUUCUAAUGUGUCCUCCAUCACUAUCUGCUGGGUUACUUUGGGCAAAGCAUUUUCCUGCCCAUUCCCCAGCUGCAAAAUGGAGAUACUGAAGCUGUUCAGAGCUUAGGGACGUGCGAGUGGAAAGCAAUGUAAAAGAACAGCAUCUUGUGACAUGUAAGGUUUCACCACAUCAUGCACUAAGGGAAACGGAACUACUAAGUGUUGUUUCUUUUCAGCAGAUUUCUCUGAGUUCGUGCUUGUCUUUAACAGAGGAAGUGGCUGUUUCACAAGCCUGAGCUGCACUGCAGUGCACAGCUGUGCCUCUGAGAACUAACUGGAUUUGGUACUUACCUUCCUCUUUAAGGCUUUAGAGUUAUUGUCCCAGACAUAGACCAUUGUGGGGGAAACGAUUUUUAAGCAGACUUAAUCAGAUCUUAAUUUCACCUGCUUGCAUUAAAAAUUGUUUCACUGAUCAUACCUUGAGGUAAAUAUGGCAAAAUCAGCUCUUAAUUCUCAGUUACGCUGCUGUCAGCAGCAGAACUCUGAAGCUUGUCUCUCAUGCCCUAAGGAAAACUCUGUUUGCUGUACCAUGUUCAGAGCGGGGGGGGAAAUCAUCUAUUUUCUGGGAUUGCUGGCCCACGGAUGCGUUCCAGACUAUGCUUGAAAGGAGAACCACUGAGGCUCUGGCUGGUUUUCAGUCUGCACUUCAUUUUCUUCUGUCAACUGGCUGCCUGCUGGGUUGCAAACUGUAAUCUUCAAAUUAGCUGGAAAACAACAUCACCAGCCCCCUAAAACAACAAAAAACGGCAUGGAGGUUCCUGCAGGCUCUGCAUUUUCUGUAGCUCAGGCCUGUCGUUUGGAGUCCAGGGUCCACCCUGCGCGGUUCCCCGCUCUGAGCCGUCUCGGUGUCUGCCGGCGCGCUCCGGCAGCUGCCGCAGGGGCAGGGCGCUGUUCGAUGGGCUCUUGCGCAGACAAGCACCCUCCUCUCAUUCCCUCUUUUAGGUUUUGAACAAACUUGGACAUUGCUCUCAACAUUUUUGCUGUUCUCAGUUUGAGGUCACAGUUAUAAACCCAGUGCAAUCUUUCUUUCCUUCAUGUAUUCAUUUUGUUCUAUGUGGAAGAUGUUAAAAAAUUGCUCAAAGAUGUUAGCUCAAGCUACGAUAAUUUAUGAGGGGCUUUAUGCUUGUAUUUUCUUAAACUAGUCUCCUUUUUUGGCAGCUGAUAAGCAGGAAUUAGCAAGGCUGGUGUGCAACCCUUGCACAGGUUCCAGGCACGUUGCUGAUUUUUUUAUUAUUAAAUUUUGCGCACGAAUGAAUGAUCAUCACUGUUAUUUUCAGGCCAGCCCUUGAUAGCCUGCAGCUGUAUGUUGGUGUGUUCGAGAUGUUACUGACGGUGGGAGCUGAAAUCCCGAGCAGCAGUGAACGCCGUGCUGCAGCCGGGCGGCACCUCCGCCACACGUGUGUCCUUGCACAUCUGUGUGCCGGGUUACUGCUCAAGUGCUGCAGCAAGUCCUUGGCCCCUAUAGUCGUGGGGUUUCAGUGCAGAAGUCCCAUCAGCCUUAGCUGCAGGUGAGCGAUGUCCGGGAGAGCGUUACAGCCCGGAGCCCCUGUGCUCCCAUCGCGUCGUGGGCUGGUCCUCGUGCUGGUGCCGUGUGGUGAGAACCGCUGGGAACGAGCCCAUGGGGCACCAGCCUUGCUUGUGCGGCUGCGUCACAGCAUUGUGUGGGGCCCUUUGAAAUGAUCAUCUGCAAUCAGAAGGCAAGCAUGGCAGGCAGGGGAGCGCAAAAUCCAAGGAACUGCAUUUUGAAAGCUUCUGGCCAUCUAUGCAACUGAUAGAAGUUGAUUGCGGUGGGGCUUGGUUCACUAGCCUCAGCUGAAAAUCUGGCUCUGAGUAUUUUAGUGUUCUUCUUUACCCAGAAAAUGCAAGAAGACUUUUUAAAAAAUAAAACAUCAAAGAGCCAAGUUUUUCUUAUAGCUUUGCUAUGACAUUUCAUAAAGCAGAUAAUUGUAGAGGAGAUAAAAACUCCUGGCAUUUUCGAGCAGAGAUAGAGGAGAUAAUUUGCAUAUAGGUUGAGAAAUACCAAUGUUAAUUGUUUAGUUUUUCCACUGACGUGCUUAAAUAACAUUCAGUUGAAUCCAGAAACAAAGCUGCAAACAUGAAGGACAGAGCUGAUUGCUGCUGCAGGUUCAACCAAACCAACCUGUGUAAGCUCAUCUGGGUGUUCCGGCUCCGGGGGUUGGACUGGAGCAGCUGCCCAGGUCCCUUCCAGCCCUGACAUCCGGGGUUCCUUGACCAUGGCCUCUGGAAUUUGGCCCGGUAUAAAUAUCCCUACUGGAUUUUUUUUAAUGAUGCAUUUUGGAAAAAUUAAAGCAGUUAUGCCACCAAUUUUGUAGAGACAAUCAGACCUUCUCAAGAUGCCUCUGAUUUUUCUGUCAAAAGAAAUGUCUGUGUUGAAGCUAACAAGGAAAUAGAGAGGAAAGGAAAUCUGUGCCUGCAAGCACAGCGUAAGUGAUAAGAGAUGUCAAGAGGAUGGGACCAGACUCCGCUCAGUGGUGCCCAACGGUAGGAUGGGACUGAAACACAGGACGUUCCAUGUGAAUAUGAGGAAAAGCUUCUUUACUCUGAGGGUGCCAGAGCCUGGCCCAGGCUGCCCCGCGCGGCUGUGCAGUCUCCCUGGAGACAUUCAGGCCGCCUGGGCCGACCCUGUGCCGUCGGCUCUGUGACCCUGUGCGCAGGGCUUGGAGCGGGUGGUCUCCAGAGGUCCCCUCAACCCCAGCCAUUCCGGGGUUCUGAGAUAAACCAUCGGGGAAACGGUGCCCGCGGCAGCUCCGAGCCCUGCUGUCCCCGGCGGGCGCUGGGUGGUCUCCGCAGCGCGGCCCUCGGGCGCCCGCCAGGAGAGCAGCGCGAGCCGGGGAUCCGGCUGCUCGGGGCCGCGCUGCCUUUCAAUAUGUUCUCCCGUAUGUUUUAACGCUUUUGCAUUUCUUCCAUCUGUUUCUGGGAAACAUGAAGGAAUUUAAUGAUCUUUUCUAGGGUUGUUAAACCAACAGCUGUUGUCAUUAAUAGAGGACAUUCUUUAUGGCAGUGUGCAAAUUCCAGUGAUAAAUCCAGCCCGGCUACCCUGUAUUUCUUUUUAAUGAAUACAGCAUUUGUACUGAAACUGAGGUUACAAGUAUACGGAGUUCUUUAACUAUUAUUUUAGGAUAGAGCUUUUUUUUUCGUCCUCUUGUUCCUAAUUGCCUUUUCCAUGAAAUACCUUUCGUGCUGAGUGAAAGAGAAUUUUGCUUGUUUCCAUUUUCGCUCCUCCUCCCCUCUGCGCUCCCUGCCAAGAGAGAAACUGGAGCAAAGUUGCUCGGAAGAAUGGAAUAGAUCCCAGUUGGAUAACCUGUUGUGAUGAAGUUCAUUUGCAGAAAGAAAUGAUCUUUUUCUGUUCACUUUAAAGGUUCCUCUGGCCUGCAAAAUCGAUGGUGACUUUUGUUGUAUUUGGAGCAGAUUUUUUGCCUUCAGUGACUUACUGCCCUGAGUUGUAAUGAAGACCAUAAACAUCUGCUUGGAUACACUUUAUGUCUAAUUACAGGCUAUCCUGUUUUUCAAUACUUUCACUUAAUACUGUAUAGUAAAGAGGGUUUUGUGCUGCAUCACUCUAUUUUUCCUACUUUUUUCUUUUUUUUUAAAUAGUAACAUAACCCAACAUAAUAAUUACAACUUUGACCUCAGUGAAGUGCACAAUGUAAGGUACUGAUAUUUAUGUACUUGGACAGUGGCCUCAUAUCGACCAAUGUCAGUAACUAGUCUCAGAAGGGUUCGAGAGCUGCCGGAGCCCUGUGGGCCAUCUGGACCCCUGUGGGCCAUCUGGACCCCUGUGGGCCAUCCCGAGCCCUGCGGGCGGCCCGGAGCCCCGCGGCUCCAUUCCAGGCUCGUGCGGCGCAGUGAGGUGCGGUGUGCUGACAUCAGACUCCAAACUAGAUGUGAUUUGAACUUAGUUGUAUGUAAACAGCCAGGAGACUUCUGAUGAAUUUCAUUUAGGAGUAAUCACUGCAUUUGUGUCAGUAAUAAAUGAAAAUGAGAUGAAAAUGCUUUUCUGUUGUCUUUGGUGACUUAUUCAUCCUGCACCUUAAAAAAAAAAAAGCACACAACAAAGUAGUUUUUCAUCUUGACUGAAAUGCAUUUUAAAAUUAAUUGUUUUACUGGCUUGAAAGCUUCAUAAAUUGGAUUAGAAUCCCAUAUAUUUACCAGCCUCGGGUAACGGGUGAUCUGGCCUGCUUGUUAUCUUUCUAAUGAUUUUCUCACCUGGCGUUUUAAUUAAAAUAAUCCCUGCGCUGGCGUCGCCGGCAGAGGUGGGCAGGAGCAGAAACCUGCUCUCUGCCGGGGGAGAUGAUUUGGGCUUAAAUUACCAAUUUAAGGGGGAUUUACCAAACCUGCACAAAACACAGAUAUUGGAACCUGAAUUAAUUAGCAUGGAAAUGACUGAGCAUGGUUAAAUGUAUGUGUCUUGUUGUAUUCAGCGUUGCGACCAUGAGAGGAAAGAAUAAGAAAUGAAAAAGGUGGGAUAAAACAAGCAAGAACAGGAAGAGAAAAUACAGCUGUUUCUUAAUAUGCAGUAGUCCUUUCAAAAAACCUGCAGACCAUGCUAAUGACUCAUAAGUAGUUUCAUUGUGGGAUAUGUAUGUCCAAGGGCUUCUGGCUGCAGGGAGGUAACUGACAAACGAUUCUGUGUCUAUCUAAGGGCUUUGUGCUGUCAGUUGGCACUGCAGUAUGUGCCUUCCUUGGGAAAUGGAAUGCAAUAACUGAAACUUAGGGGUCUUCACAGAUUGUUUGGUGUAUAUAUGUAUUUUUUAAUUGCUUUUUUGAGCCAAAACUCUGUUAAAAGCAGCAAUCCUUUUCCCAAAGAGCAGGUGCUCAGAUACUAUGAUUGCGAACAUCCUAUAACUUUGUGGAUGUAUGGAUAGUGGGACAGAUGUACAGUGACACAGAUAGAUGGAUUAAACACUUGACAUUCACCUCUGCAGAGAGAGAUCCUGGUUUGAAAUAUAAAGUGGAACUGAAAUAGAAGUAGAGCUUUUGUGGAAUUUCAGCCCUGGUGUGCACAGGUACUUUGAACAAAAAUAUUAGCGACUUUUUGACAAGCUGGAUUUGCAGUUUUGUUCUUUUCAAAGGAGAGAGAAAGCAAAAGGAAAAAUGCAGCUUGUCUUUAAAGUGCAGCAAGAGCUCUGCAUCAUUUAUUCCUUGCAGCAUUUCCCCUUAAAAAGAACAGGAUUAGACCAAAACAUGCAUCUUUUCUUGUCUAUUAAGCUGGGAAGAUCCUGCUAAUUUAGAGUUCCCAGUUAACCCUUAGCCUGGUCUGUGUUUGCCAGAGCCAGGGGCAUUAAUUGCCCCAAGCAGCAACAUCUGCACAGUCCUCACAGAAGCGGCUCCGUAGGUACAGCCACAUCCAGCCCGGUCCCUGACUCGCCCUGGUGACGCCUGGGCUGCCAGUGGCACCUGUGCCUGUCCGCCCUGCCUGCUGAGGGACCGUGUCCCGCGGUGCCGCCGCUCCCCAGCCUGCGCCGCGGGAACCCGGCCCCUGCUGCCCUCCCUGGGGGCGGCCGCGCUCCUGCUGGUGCCCCAAAUGCUCACAGUGCUCCCCUCUUGAGAGCUAGGCUUAAUCUGCAGUGUUGUCACCGUUCUGUGGAAAAGGUGCGUAAGAUUCACUGCAUUUCAGAAAUGAAUCCAUCCUGAAAGGGAAGAUUGCAUUUGAAAUAUAUCUGGGCUUGGUAAUGUUUUAAGUGUAAUCCCUCUAGCAUUUUUCACUUUCAAGGUGACAGUAAUUGAAAGAUGGAUUCCUGCAGUUUUGGCAUUCAUAAUUUGACUGAGAAAAGGUCAACUUCUUCAUGGAGUCUUGUUUAAACUGGUAGAACAGCAUGGAAAUGUCACAUUGUCUUUCUGAUAGUGUCACCGGUGUUUUGAUUAACAACAGGUUCAAUCUGUAAUGCAGAAUAAAACCCAAAUGCCACAAAUAGCUCAACAAGAGCCUAGUCCAAAGUGCUUGAGACAUCAAUAGAAAGAUUUCCCUUGGUUCCACUAGUUUGGGAUCUGCUCUAACUGUUCCUUUCUCCAGGGUAACUGACAAUUUCGAUUCACCAGUAAGCAGACAAAAAGCUCUCGGAGUUCGUGAUUGCAAAUCUCCCUAAGUUUGCAAAGCAGAAAAAUGUAGACCCAGGAUAUAUGUCCUGCAUAUAGCAUAAUGCAUAGCAAUGAAGCAGUUUAGAAGAAAGUAAGCAAAUUAAUGGUGCAUAAUGCACUUCUGACAUCUGGGUUAUUGCUGCUUUGCUGUGUUUGGGGGCAGUAAGCAAUGUGACUGUCCUACUGUAUGUAGGUUUGUUAUGCAAAGUCAGGGGGCAGCGAAGCGCCUCUUCUCCUCUGUCACAGCAUCCCUAUGACAGCCUUGAUGGAGGCAGGAGCCGACACUUGUGGUUUGCUUUUCAGGAAGCAGCUUUCCUUUUCUGGUGCCAGAGAAGUGGACUUGUUUUAGGUAAACCUGCAGCUUGGAAUCUUGCUGUGAAAACAGCCUUGCCAGCUGCUUCCCCUCGUGAAGUGCUGUGAGGUAUUUCUAUGUGUAUUACAGUUGUAACAGCACCAGCUUUUGCAGGGAAUCGACUGUGAUAAGCAAACCUUCUUUAAAGCUAAUCAGCUGAAUUGCUGUUUGCCUGGUAGGCUGAUUGUGACAAGCAGAAGGACCACUGAAGAUGUCACUGCUACUGGAGCAAAAUGCCUCUGGUGACGUUAAGAUGCAGUGGUAGGACAGCUGACAGGCUGGGGUGCGUGGGUCCCCUGCUGUGACAGCGUUUUCACGUGUGCAAAAUGAGUGUGGCAAUCCUACCUGCUGGGAGCCUGGCAUCCCUCUGCACCGGGUGGAAAAGAACAGGUUAGGCCAUGGACCAUGGCACAGUUGGGCAUUAGGUCCUGAUCUUGGCAAGAAUAGAGAGAAAAAUAAACCGUGUGGAAGAGAUCACACAGGAGAAUAACGGCCUGGGUUGCUAUUUUGAGUUUAAACAAGGAUUUGCAUUAUUUGUGCUCUGAAGGCUGCUGGGGGAGCGGUGUGCCGAGCAAUUGUUCCUGUCCGGAUUGCUGGCCUGAACUGCAGCAGCGCACUGACCUCAGGUGCCUCAGCCCCGUGAGCAGGGCUGCGUGAAACAGGACAGCAGCACAGCCGUCUGCUAGAAAGGUUGAUUUAUGCAUCGAGGCCAGAGUAAUACACAGCCACUGCAGUCAUUUUGUCAUUACAAGAUAUUUAUACAGAUUUCCAAAGGCAGAAAAGUAUAAAGUGCUGUGGAAAGUAUGGGGAAACAAGGCCCAGACUGGUCGCACUGCGCAAGCCCAUGCCCGCACAGCUGGUCCCGACAGCCGAACUCAGCCCCUCUGCCUCUCUUCGGCGCUGGCGGUCCCCGCUCCUGGGCAGCAGAGGAAGGGCCCGGGGUGUGCUGGGCGGAGAGAAGGAAGGGCCCGGGGUGUGCUGGGCAGAGAGGAGGGGAGGGCCCGGGGUGUGCUGGGCAGCAGAGGAAGGGCCCGGGGUGUGCUGGGCGGAGAGAAGGGCGCGGGGUGUGCUGGGCAGAGAGGAAGGGCCCGGGGCGCGCUGGGCGGAGAGAAGGGGAAGGGCCCUUGGGGGCUUGGGCAGGGCGCGGGCGGGCCCACUGCCCCUCGGCGCGCUGCGGGGCCCUGGGCAGACAACAGCCCUUUGUGUGUAGCGGGGGGGUACGUCGUUACCUGGAGUGGCGUUGCUGGUGCCCUGCUAAGCGAAACUCCAUGCUAUGCGCUUGUGCUUUGCUGCCUGCAGCUGCGUUCCAGGCCCGCGAUCUGUACCAGGACUCUAGAAGAGCCGCCAAAGCAGCUGAAGGUAAAUGAGAAGACUGCAAGCAGGUUUCAGCAGUGAGAAAUAAGGACCCGUCAUGUUUUCUGCUGUCGAAUUAACAACUCGGAGCAAAGAAUUCUGUCCGCUGGUGCUUCAUUGUUUGGGUGCUUUCUGUAGGAACUGUAUUUGCAAACAAAGGAAAAAGACAAGACUAAAAGGAUAAAGAGAGUGAAGACGAGUUCCGCAGCAGCUGUAGCACCAGGAUCGCAGGAUGUGAUAUAUAGUGCUCAAAUAUAUUCCUAUAGCUGCAGGACACAGGACAUUUCGCACUGAUGGCUGGAAGCAGCUCUGACCCUUCUCUGCCAAAGCAAAACUACGUCAUUUUUCAUGGAGGGAAGAGGCCAACAGCCAUUUCCAGCAUAGUCCCAGCUUCCAGAGACGAUGUCCAUAUCCUCCUCUCCAAAGCGCCUGGUUAUCAGAAGAUAGGCGGCAGUAACUCCUCACGUGCUGGAGCAGAGGGCCCGUGGAAGCCCGUUUCUGGUGGCGCUGGCCACACGGAGACACUGGUCCCGCGGCCGGGUCUCCUCCCAGCGCUGCAGCUCAUCCCAGAGCUGCCUCGUGACUCGGACACAAGGAGCUGAUCCGUGGGACGCGGGUGCGACUGCGGUCUCCGGGGGGAAAGGAGCUUUCCCGCCGCACCAGCUCUGCCUCUCACCUCGCUGAGCAGACCCGUCUCAUCGUGAGGUGAAGCAAACGCAUUCCAGCAGGCUUGGAGCUUUGUCACUGAGGGCCAGGGAGCUCCUGGGGCUGCGGCUUUUGAGUAACGUGGUCCAGCUCUUCCGCAAAUCUUCAGGUGAAGACAGUAACUCCAGCUGGGUGCCCUGCGAGCCGUGGCCGCGGAGCACGGACACCGGGAUACACGGAGCGCCGUCGCUCCUUCGUGGCGGCAGCGUGUGACAGGGACGUGGCCACGUCCUCGGCGGAGCCUCCCGCAUGGCGCCUCGUCCCUCACCAGCGCGGCACGGCCAGGGACGCGCGGCAGCAGGUUAUAAACCGCGUGUCUGGCGUUGGGGGAGCAGGUAACAGGUCUUGGGCACCCACAGUGUGCUGCAGCAGCACCUCUCCAGGCUGCGUUUUCAGGCAACCAUCAGCGUCCAUCCGAUCGAGCCAGAUCUCCGAAGGAUUUCAGCAUGCAGCACAUACCUGCUAUUUCACAUUCUGUUACAGAUUGGGCUAUUUAUAUCGCCGCUUUCACAGGAGCUGAAUUCGGCAGUGACUCCUUAUGUCUGGCCCCAGACAUUUACUCAGCAAAGCACACUUAGAAAUGAAACAAAUGCUAUUUUACAGCCCAGUCUGGCGAACACUCAGCAGCCAGUUUGGUACUCAUCACUAGGAUUAUCCUAAGUGCCUUCAAGAUCACUUCUGAGUGAGCUUUAUUUAUAUAUUGUGAAUAACUGUGUGCGUCCAGGCCAGGCGCAGUCCCCCGCUCUCGCUGCAGAGAGGAGAGGCAGGAGCAACCGCGCUGUCUCUGACCUGCUUUGAAAGCCUCAAGUGCUCCACAAGGAAGGUCACACAAAGCAUUUCUGUACAUUGAUCCUUUGAAUGGCAUUUAGAAUUAACCAGCUGCCUUACAGACUUUUAUUACAAUAGCAGAGUCGGUGCUGGAAGUUUUGCUCCCACGUGGUUUGUAGCUCUAGCGCUAUGGAGACGUUUAAGAGCGCAGGAGCUGCUGCAGAGAAUUACGGUGACGUUCUCUGAGGCCUCUCUGCUGUGAUUCUGCCGCCUCCCGUGGUGGGGAACGACCCGCUGCCGUUCUGCUCCCGGCGCCGCCGUGUGCUGCGCCCGUGCCGCGUCCCAGCACCGCUGACGUCCCAGCCCAUCCGAGACGAAGUCUGCACCCGAAUAUUUUGUUCUUGAGACGUAGCAGCCAAAAACAUGUAGAACCUCGGCCAUCGCGGGUGGAGCGGCAGGUCCCACCAGCGCCUUGUCCCCGAGGAGCAGGUGAGUGACAGUGGCACACGCAGAGACGGGCUGGGGAAGCAGGGGGAAGUUAGAUGGAAUGUGGGUGGUCAGAGACAGACGGACACUGUGCGUGUGUGUGUGUGUGUGUGUGUGUGUGUGUGUGUGUGUGUGUGUGUCCACGGGGGCCGCUCCUGUAUGUUCACGUGUAGGGACAGUAUUUGUGCUCUGGGGACGGACCCUGAGUGUGCACGUGUGUGCGAAAUACAGAGCAGGGAGCACAUGGAAUAUGUGCAGCAGACAGUACAGCUCAUGAUGUGACGAGGGGAAAGAAACAGGGAGUGUAAAUCUAGUGAUGGGUUGGGUUUAUGUAUUUAUAGUAUGUGCACUCUAAUGUGUGUUUAGGUAUAGUGUGUCUGUUUAUAUCUUAUCCGUGGAUAUUAUGUGUGUGUAUGUAUAAUCUAUAUCUGUAAAUCAUAUAUGUUAUAUAUGCUGUGUAUUGUAUAUUUAUAGUGUAUAUAUACAUGGGUGUAUGUAUAUAUAAAUAUAUAGGUAGAAAAAUAGCAUGAGAAUAUGCAACUGUAUAUAUAUAUACACAUAUAUAUAUAGUAGUAUAUAUACAUAUAUAUGUAUUGUGUGUACUUAUGUAUUUAUAGUGUAUACAUAGUAUGUGGUUUUAUCUACAUACAUAGUGCAUGAAAGCCAGCCAGAGUACAUGCACAUGUAUAUACACACAUACAGAUACAUAGGGUGUGUGUACAGAGUGUAUAGUGUGCACAUAUCAUCACCCUCAGCAUGUGACGGCAUGCAUUUGUCUCUCUGUGUGCAUCCCCUCUAUAUAAUACAUAUUAUAUAACACAUAUUAUAUAACAUAUAGUAUGUAAUUAGAUAUUGUAUCUCACUAUAUCCAUAGAAACGUACCCACAACUAUACGGCAUGUGUUAUGUUCCUAGAACGUGUCUGCAUAUGUACACGUAUGUUUUCACACAGACACAUCCGUGUUCCACACAUCGGGGUCAGUGAGGUCACACCCCGCUCGCUGGCAGCCGCGGCCGCGCCGCUGGCCCCGUGUCCCCACAGCCCUCCCCAUGUCCCCACGACCGUCCCCGUGUCCCCACGGCCCUCCCCAUGUCCCCACGACCGUCCCCGUGUCCCCACGGCCCGCCGUGUCCCGCGGUGACAGUGCCGGGCUCGUCUCGGCGGCUCUGGGACGCCGUGGCUGCCGGAACCCGUGUCACCUGUGCGGCGUCGGGCUCGUUAGCGCGGGAUGGUUCGUGUGGGAUCGUUAGCGCGUCCUGUGUGCUGAGUCGCCUCUUUCUGUGCAAAUACCACGGUAAAGAGACGUGACAUUUUCUGGGCCGUUCUGCUGUAUUAAUAAGAUCCCAAGUACAGGGUGACCUUUUCACAAAGGAUUUGUAAAUGCCAGAAACUGCAUAAAAAUCUCUUUCUCCAGCAGACAGAGGCAUCAUAACUUUGCACUUCUUUCUUAAAUGGUGUUUUCCUGCCUUUCCCCUUUGGUUUUUAUCAUCUCUUUUCCCUAAAUGAAAGUAAUGAAAUCUGUACCGACAAGAACAGCCACAAGAGAGAGUGAGAAGCGUCCGGCGCUGGAGCCCCUGGUUUGGUGUAGCGGGCGCUCCCGACGGCCCAGCUCAGCGCGCCCCCGGGCGCUGUGUUGUCACCUGCAUUUCCACAGCAGAGCUGCAUCGGAAUGCUUUAGAAAUUAUUUAAAAACAGAACAGAAAAAAAAGGCAAAAUGUUUUUCAUAAGCUACAGCUUAAAAAGGAAAAAUGGAGGCUGACCGACGCCUUCCCGGCAGCGCUGUUACCAUUCCGACAUUUCCAUCAGCAUCUACGUUUCACUUGUGCAGCGGGAGGCACUACCUCUUGUUCAGCUCACGCUGACUAAAGAGAGUAAUUGGUCCCUGUCCUCUUUAUUAUGUCCCUCUAAGUAUUUGCAAAGAGUUAUCAUGGCUCCCUCCAGUCCUCUUUUCUCAUCGCUUAAAGAUUCCCAAUUCAUUUUACUCUGUCCUCCCUGACCCUCCCUCCCACUCCCGCUUCAUACAUCAAAUAACUAAGCCUAAUUACUUUGAAGACAUAUCAUAUUAGGAUGAGAAUAUUAAGGGGGGAGACGACAAAGUGCGCUGAAAAAGCAAUCGCUCGAAUUCCUGACUGACCACGAGCUCUCCCUGUGGGCCUGGGCGGCUCAGACCUGGGUGUGGGAGCUCUGCGGACCCCGCGUCUCCAUCAGAUGCCACCACACCAGCAGCUGAAGACACGCGAGACAUCACCGGGCAUCACUGACCACCACCGGCUAUCACCGGGCAUUGCUGGGUAUCACUGACCAUUACCGGGUAUCACUGACCAUCGCCAGGUACCACUGGGCAUUACUGGGUAUCGCUGACCAUCACCAGGUAUCACUGACCAUCGCCAGGUAUCACCGGGCGUUGUUGGGUAUCGCUGACCAUCACCAGGUAUCACUGACCAUCGCCAGGUAUCACCAGGCGUUGUUGGGUAUCGCUGACCAUCACCAGGUAUCACUGACCAUCGCCGGUACCACUGGGCAUCGCCAUGCUGCACCGGGACACACAGCACCAUGGAGACGCGGGCAGAGAUGCAGCAUUCCCUCCUGCACCCUGUAACAUUAAGACGGGUUAAUUUGGCUUUACAAAGUGAAAAUGUCAAGCUUCAUUUAUAUGCUGGCACCCAGCGUUAAUUACCUUUCCCUUUUUUAGCAGCCAUUCUUGUGUUCUGUUUCUUCACUUAAGGCUGAUAAUAAGCUGUCCGUCUAUAUAAUCAUUCUGCCGACACAAAUCAUGAUGAAUAUGAAAAGCAAUAAAAAGCAAAUCUAAUGAGACAUUGCUCAGAAUGAGACAAAAAAAUUGCACCACGUUCUUUAAUCAUCAAUGUGCAAAGCCAACCGGAAUAAAUUUGUUUCAAGGAGGCCUCAUUUCUAUUUAAAUGUAAAGUACACUGUGAUGUUUUAAGAACCACAGAAAACUAUGGAGUUCUGAUAAAGUAUUAGCUUUGUAAUGCCAGCCAAAGGAAUAAAGCAUGAACAAAGAGCUCCCCCGACAUUGCGCAGAGGCCGAUGGCUUGUUUAGAUCUUCCAGAGUGAAAUGCAGAAAGCGGUAGAUCCAACAAGGUCUCUGGAAACCUCAGUCACUGCUCCGCAACACAAGGACUCACAAAACUGCAGCAGCACCACCAGCUCUGGUAGAAAAGCCUCAUGCUGACCUGGUGCUGUUGCAAAUAAGAACAUCGUUCCAUAAAAUCGGUGAGAGGUCGUGAGCAGCGUGAGCUGCAGCUCCAGCACCUCCCGGAGCCACUGCAGCAACGGGGCACGGAAAUCGCUGCCCGCAAUGUUCUUCCUUUUCUCCUUUCCGGCCCCCGUCGCCGUUCCCCCACGUUGCACUGGGGAGCUGUACCUCUGUGUGCACCCAUUGCAGAGUGAAACGUAAGACCCAGCUCCACUGAGAUGAUCCAGGUGGUUCAGAGCAAUACACCAAAUGCUGUGAUUCUGAAGUGAGCUUUAUACUGGGAAAAUUAUGAAAUUUAGAGCACCAAUGCUAUUCUUCAGGAACGAAGAGUCAAUUACAGAGCUCGAGGGUACCUGGAAAUAAACGAAGGUGCCAAACUGUGUGCUGGUUGCGCUCCCCCUUCCUCCCCGCAGCCACUUCUGCUUCUCAUGUGCUCCUCAUGCGCCGUUCACACCCAAAUACAGACAAACCGGGCGCGCUGGGAACAGCCCUUUGCCAGCGGAGGGGCGCCCGGAGCCGCGCCCGGGCUGGGGGCACCGGGCACCAGAACAGCCCCGGCUGUGGCGCCGGGAGCUGCGGAGCCCACCCAUCGCCUGCCCCGGCUCCGCAGCAGCUUCACUGAACACCACGUCCCGUGAACCGGCUCCUCCCUUGCCAAAAAUCAGCGUACAAAUCCUGAGAGGUCACAGGAGAAAUCCGCCUGGGGGUUCCUGUUCACCUUCUGGUAGAGAUUGCAGGACGCGCUCAGAUCUCAGUCCUUCCUCUGUUAUGCACCGAUAACAUCAUUAAGAAAACGAACUCCCAGCCCAGUGUCCUCAGAAAGUGGGGCAUUAAUAGGCGUUUUGGAAAAGCGGUGUGAAGAAGGUGAGACUAUGAAUGUCUGCCUUGUGCUCAGGACAACGGGGAAGGGGCAGCAGAUAAAUCACCAGGCACUGAGUAAUUAAACAGUGAGACAUGUGACAGCCAGGAGGAUAACCGGGUUCAAAAGGGAUUCAAUUAAUUGAAAGGAGAAACCUAUCUGUGGCUAUUAAGCUCCUUGGUCCCAAAGCAAAUUCAGGCUCAGGAAGUCUCUAAUCUGCUAAUUACUAUAAACUGGGAGGCUUAUUUGUAGGCACAGAUCACUUGGUACUUGCCCAGUUCCUGCUGCAGACAGAGUACUGGGAACGGGUCUGGAUGCUCUGAUGUGGCCGCCCUUUAGGCUUGUGAGGGCUCGUCUUCCUUGUCUAUUUCUUAAAUUAUUUAGAUGAUAUUUUAUUAUUGUAAUAAAGUAAUUGCACUGGCACAAGCUGAACAUUAACAUUCGCAGUGUGGGUUGAGAAAAAACAUUAUCAUUAAGCCUCCACACUGAAAAUGAUCCUCAGCAACAACUCACAGUGUCACCGCAGAAGUUCCCUCUGCUCCUCCUCCGGCUCUUUUGAACCCGCGUGUCCCCGCUGCAAACACCGACAGACAACAAACCCGCAUUCCCUCCCCAGCAGACACCCGGUCCUUGCAAUUUCAGAUGUGGUUUUGUUCCCUUGUUUUAUCUGCAUGAACAGUUUGAAUGGUUUUAUAAUUUGCCUGUGCUUCCAUUUUAUUACGUCUGCCUUCCAUCUGUUAUGUUUAUGGUUUAUGUUCCCGUUCUCCUCUCACUAACGCCAGUGGCUCUACUGCAAAACUGAUAUUGCAUCCUAGGAACUUAUCACCCCACUCAAAAAAUAUAUCUUGUGCAUGAUGGCAUAAGAACCGCCCGGGGAAGAAUGAAUGGAUCUUUUGUUAAUGAUGUUCCUGUAGAAGAGCCCACGCAGUAGUUGUACCUGCUGCAAAUAUGGUCUCGCUGCACUUUGCCCAAGUCCCAGUGAACGGCACAGAGCCCAUCCAGCAAAUGUAAAGAAGAACCUGGUUACCCGUGAGUGUUCAUCCUUUAGAGGAGGGACGACACCACCUCCUGUGUGUUUGGAGGGUAAACGGCUCACGUGCAGGGAAACCCUUACCCGUGUCCCAGCUCCCGCGCCCGGGCCUUGGCGGCAGCUGCCACGGCUCACGGGCACUUGAGCGCAGCGCCGGCUGCAGGAAUCCGUGCAGCUGAAGAUACCGAUUCCCUUGGCAUCGUCUCCAGUGCUAAACCACCACCCUCAGACGGACAGCAGGUGAGCCCCGCGCCUGGCGCAGUCUUAGGCCAGUUAAAAUUUUCACUGAUUUGUGGUAACACAGUUUUUCUCCUGGUUUUGUAGUUUUCCAAGCACAAGUAUAAUUGGCCCUGGCCUGCUACCAAGAGGUGUAUUAAAACGAUGAGGAAUGAAACUAACGAUUGUUAAGAAGAUCUAAUUGCAAGGAUCCCGAGUUGUUCGUUACACAUUUAUGGCUGCCAACCAGCAGCGCUCAGAUAAGGGCCCGUGGCUUUGUUUAGCUCGCCAGGGCACUCAGAUGUGUCUGGGCACAAGAAUGGGAAGACUGAGGCAGAAAUCAAUACGGGGCUGCUGAACACCCCACUGCGCAGCGGGAAGAGACUAAUUUGAUGAUGAACCUGUGAGUCCAAUAAAAAUGGGCAUAAUUUAAAAUGUAUUAAAAAUAUAAGCUGCCAAAGCAUCAAUAUUUAAACACCAUCCCCUACAGUGUCACCACAGAUUUUGCAGAGGAGCAGAUAUUGUUGAACAUGAAGGUGACAAAAGAUGCAAGAAUAGCCUGAAAUGCUGCUUUGGGAAAGUUGAAUAAAACUGUCUUGGGGCUAAAUUUGCACUCGCAUGUUCUCCCUCUCCCUGUUAAGACUGUUGUGAAACGGGUCCCCAGUCUCCAUGCAGGCCAAGUGACAACAGAGGAACACGGAGCUCAUUUGCAGCCACGCUCAGCCUGGGACCCGCUGUGCGUGCUGGGACAAGCGUCCCGGGCAGGUCCCCGGAGCCCGGGCUGAGUGUUGUUUCAAUGCGGUCAGCGCUGGAACGACCUUUCUCCAGGGACACCCGCUGGGAGCCUGAAGCGGAGGCUGCUCCGACCACCCAGAGCAACAACCACCGUGAACAUCAUCAGGACUGAGCCACAAGUGACCAGAUGGCUCCUGAGUGCCGCUGACGCCCAGCGCGUGCACCAGGUCAGACACCGCCCCAGAGCACCGGCGCUGCUGGAGGGCACUUUCCGCUGCCGAUCCUACAUCACUCGCCACUCACUUCCCAGCAUUGCUCCGUGCCAGGUACUUCAAAGCACCAAGAUCACUGGACGAUGCAAAAGAAAAUCUUCUGCAUGGUCACACCAGGAGACAGGUGUUAUCACCGAGGAGCGUUUGGGGACACGCGAGCUCGAGCGCACGCGGAGCCCGGCAGCGCUGCGGCGAGGAGGCGGGUCUGCGGGGGACCGGGCCACAGCUGAAAACCGACGGCUCCAGAGAACCGGCGUGGAGGGCACAGAGCAGCAGCUCCCACCGCCCCGCCCGACAAAGCCCCUGCCCCAUCCUCCCCGGGACAAACCGAGCGCCCCAGCUCCUGCUGCGACGUCCCUCUGCUCCCAGUGAUGCUGGGCCAAGGCACCGCACACCAAACUGCGCUGCACGGGCUAAUUAGCACUUUAACUAGCUUCCUGCUACAGACAUCCUUGCAGUAGUUAAUCCAGAGGCCAUCUGCUGAGGAUAGUGCAUUUAUCACUGAGAAUCUACCUAUCUGCAUCGUACUAGGCGUGCACAUGCUGAAUCUCAAUCAUCUUCACUUAGACACUCUAUUAUGUAUACCAUGAAAUUUAACAAGGUAUGUCCUAUAUGGGACUGUAACAUUGCAGCUGUGUGGACUAAUUAGAUAAGACUCAUUAUUGUUCAUUCAAUUUGCAUUUGCAGAUGCAGGGAGCUGAGUGCUGCCUGCUCUCAGGCUGAUUGAUUGCUCCCACUUUGCAUUCAUUAGGAAGGUGGCCUCAGCACAGUAGUUUUACAACAUGUGUUUGCUACCACUUAACUGGAUGUGCCAGUCAAACGCCUUGAACUGUGUGUCUUGAUUAACAAUAUUUUGCAAAUACGGCGCGGUCUAUUUGAGCGGCACGGCAGGCGGAUGGCGGAGCCGGCGUGCGGGCGAGCGCCACUCCUGCCAAACCGUCCCCUUCCCGCACAUGGAGGGUCAGAAACCCAGCUGUGGCAGCGCUGGUGGGGUCCAGGAUCAGCCUCCAGACCUGCUCUGAGCAAACACUCCCAUCUUGCUUCAAUUUCCCCUGUGUUUUUAGUAGUUUCUCAGAUGGUGACGCUUUGAGGAGGGAACUUUCUGAGCCUUCCAAGUGGCGGUUGUGCUUCCCGGCUGGAGGAGCGUCAGAGGACACUUGCCCCCGCAGACCCGCUGCACCGCCGGCUCCAGCAUUUAAUCUAAAUGUAAUCCUUCCUCCAACCCAGGCGCUGACGGGCCGCUCAGCCCCCAGGCCUCGUGUUUUAUUUUUCACAACACUGUAAAACAAAACCUGGGAAAUAGCUUUUCCUCACAAUAACCAGGUCUCCAGCAAACAGGAGAGCAAGCAUCCCGCCCAGCACUGCGGUCACCGGGUGUCUGCCGUCCCCAUGGGUGCCACCUCACCAAGGGUGCCACCCCACAGGGGGUGUUGGUCUGGCUGAUUCCAGACCAAGCUGACAAAGCAGCUGCAAGCCGGAGCCUGAUGGACACCAGGCUUGGCCAAAGCAGAGGGAACACCUUUGCUGGUGGCCCGAUGGGGCGGUCAAGAAGCUUCAGCCCUCUGAAGGGAAUUGGGAGGUCACCAACAGAGGUGAUGGACCAGGCUUGCGUUUUGGGGCCAUUUCUGGGAGAAAGGCGCAUUAACAAUAAAUCAAUCUGUGCAGGGGUCUCCUGUGCCGGAGCUGCGGCUCUGCAGGGCAGCGGGGGCGCCCCCAAAGCGCCCGCGCAGCGGGUGACGACGCUGCGGAGGAGCAGGGGACACCGGCUCCCGGGGGAACGCCCCGGCACGGGGUCUGACACCGCGCGCCCAGCCCGGCACUGCCGGCCACAGCACAGCCGAUUCCAGGGGCCUUUCUCAUCCAACGCAGCGUGGCCCGGCUGCUCACACAGGGCAGCUCUGCUGCCAUCGCGCUGGCAGAUGAACUGUUGCUUCAGCUCAUUCCAGUGUGAAACACUGACACUUUCUUCCUUUUUGCAUAUGCAAUACUCACUGGGUAGUUCAGGUCUAUGCAUAACAUAUUUAUUCAACAGUAAUCAUUUCAUUUCUGCAAAGAAAAUAUGCUCCACUACUCCUGCGGCUGACAGGCUCUGGCAGAAGUUGGAAGCUGAAGCUCCAAAAGGAGGGAGAACAUGUUCACAGGCUGAGCCCCAGCUGUUUGCAGCGUUCCUCUGCCCUGGCAAUUAUUUUGAUAGGAAGAACCCCUGGAGGGUUAUUUGGCUUGUGCACACGUGUGCUGUGUUCACAGCCACCAGUCAGGGAGCAGACAAGUGAACCUCCUAAGACAUUUCUGCUUUUGUAAAGCGUUUUUUAAAAGGAAGAGGGUUCAGUUCUGCUCACACACCAGAGGGUGCUUGCUCCCAUGGUAGCGUGGAAAUAGGAUAAUGUAACAGUUCUUCUUCUAACAUUGUUUAUUAGCCUUGAACUGCCCCAAACCUCCCCUCACAGUACAAGAGGAGAUCACCACCCAACUUGAAGAUGCAGAGCAAGGUCAGACCUCUUGAACCUGUUCACAGGGCUCUGUGGUUUCUGCCCGUGUCUGUUGUGCACCGAGUGGUAGAACAGUCUCCGGAGGCCGAGUCUGGGGUCAGGUUUGCUGCGGUGGCACAACAGGGAGCAUUUGCUCCACUGCUGCUUUCAACGGUAAACGAGAAUCCACUUAAAAUUCAGCAGCACCUUGUGUCUUGCUGCUUUGCCUCAGCAAUAAUCACCGUCAGGACCGUCCUCAGACAGCACCGCUUGCUAAAUACACACAAAUCCCUCGCUGAAGGGGAAAGCUCCCUGGGGACCAGCAAUAAUUUAGCCUGCUUGUCAUCCAAGGGCUUCAAAGUACUUUAGAAGUAUUAAUUAAGCCUCACAGCGUGUCUGUAAGAUGGAGGUUUAUCGUUUGCUUGGCGGUGGGCAGCAGCGGGUCCGGGGCUCGGGAGGCGAGGACGGCGACGCUUCAGCUCGGGCGCCGUGGACCUGAGCGCCCGCUGCGCCAGCGCGGGAGGGAGGAACGUUCCCAACGCCUGCGAACGCCCCAGCAGGAGGAAGAGGCGGGUGGUGGCGGUGCAGAGGAAGGCUCCGGUCCCCAGCGCUGCUCCGUGUCCCCAGCCCGUGCCGCUCGGAGCAGCGCUGGCAUCCAGCCCCGUCCUGCGCAGCCAGCGGGAUUUGUUUCAGGUGGCUUCAUGAGAAAAUGAGUAAAUCCCUGCCUGGGUUUUCACUUUUGAAUCAGCUGUCCAAAACAUUAAAUAUAUCAAUUCCUUAUUGCUUUAAAAUGUUAUACUCAUUUUUAUAUCUAGAAAUGCACAUGCUUUUUGUGCACAGGAAAGCUGCCAGCAGUUCAUCCCACCAAUGGGGCUUUAUUCACAAACUUAUGAGUAUGUAAGGCUGAAUAUUCAUUUGGAGGGAUUAAUUUAAGAGAGCUGAUUAGAGAUGAAAUCAGAGAGCAGCUGAAUGCCAUUUGCACAAUGCGGCAUUUGGCACGACUUGGGGCACUGCAGAAACGAACACCUGGACAACACCCGGCGGAACAGCCCGACCAGCAGCUGUGCUGAGGAUGGACGGACAGACUGACGGGUGGAAAUCACCCUCCCUGGAGAUCGGCUCCAGGCUGUCUGUGGUAAACCAUGAGCCUAAACCAGCAGCUGCCAGAUGCCCCCUGUGAGGUUUAUUACUGUUGACAUUUCAGUUGAGGAUGGUCUGUUUUCAAGAGGCUGUCUCCAUCAUUUCUACACAUUAAUAUGCUUGAGAAGUCCACCACUAUGGGCAGAAAUCAAAUGACUCAUCCAAAAAUGGCCCCUCCACCCUGCGAUAACAUGGCUGAGGAAGACAGACUGAAUCCUGUUGCCAUGGGCUUUGCCGGGCAGCCCCCGGUUUAACCACCAGCAGGGUGCUCAUCCGCAGAAUCGUCCGCUCUUCCACUUGGGGCAGAAUCCGGUUUGCAAGUCGUGCACUAUGUGGAGAAAAUCCUCCACUCCCACCCCUCAGAGCGCAAACCACCUCACCCCCGUGCCUGCAGGAGAGCACAACGGGCCCAUUGCCGGCAGGGACAGGCGAGGAGGAAGCCUCCAAAAACCUUACCCAAAAUGCGACCUUCAGCUCACUGUGCGAUGGAAGAACAGAGCUGCAAACACAGCCAGGUUAUGAUCGCGUUUAACGUAAUAUAAAGUCUCACCUCAAGUCCAAACCCAUUUUUGGAUAACAGCUGCAUCUGGCUCUUGACUGUGCUUCAUCCCUCCAAAAGCAUCAGCUCGGGAGGGCUGCAACUCCCGUUCCAGACAAGGGGCUGGAGGGCGGCCACGCGGCUCCGCCGGCACGGGCACGGGGACCUGACCCUCCCGGACCCAGACACUGUCUUUUGGGUUGAAAGUAACGGGAAUCGGUGGCCUAAAUGGAAGUUAAAUGCUUCUGUGGAAAAAAUGCAAGAGAGCAAAGCACGUGUAAACAGCACCUGCCAAAUCACGAUUCAGAAAGAAAAACCUAACAAAUACCCUGUAACUCACAAAGGGGAACAUGGAUAACAGUUUGCUGUCACUAAAUAAUGCUUCUCACAUGCAGAAUGUUGUCUUUUAUCUAGAUGUUUAGAUUAUAACAGAAGUCCAGUGAUUUUUGUCAGUGUCAUUUGUUUCUCUGGAGAGAAUAUUAGAGCUCUGCUAUGACAGAACAUUAAUAACGGGGGAGAUAAAUCCUCCUGAAGCGUUAAUUUUCUAAGCAUUGUGAGAUCUAACAUGCAUCAUCACUAUAUAUCCGUGAGGGAUAAUGUGAGCAGGCACUGUAAACAUCACGCUACGAAUGAAACAACAGAAUUAAAGUGGAAUCUGUUUCUGAAAGAGAUUUACAUUUGGUAACAGGGACGCGGCUUCCGCCGUUUCCAGUAACAACGCGCAGCCGACACGGCUCCCUGCAGCGGCCUCUCAAACAGCCUCCAGCAACCACCACUGAAAACAAGGGCCAGGGCUUCUCGGUGUGAACUGGCCCAGCCCGUGAAUCCAGCGGUCACGGGAAAGGACAGGCAGGAGCACAUGGGGAAAGCAAGUGCAAUUUAGUUAUUGUGGGUGGUUACACGCAAACUCCCCCUUAGUGCGUUGAACGCAGUUCCCGGUGAAGAGGUAACUUGCUCUGCCGGCUCGACUCUGACCUGCAGCCUGGAUGCCCCAGUGAAUAUUUCACUCCCGCCUGAUUCAGGGCGACCAGUUCUCUGGCUGCACUUUCCUCACGCUGUGCUGAGGUUAAGGACGGAAAAGGGCUCAGCCCGUGGAGCGGUGACCUGGGUCCGGGCUCCCCGACCAGAGCAGCGCGAGACACGAGCAGCUCUCCUCCGUCUGUGUUCCGUGAGCCGCACCAUCCACCGUUAGUGAGCGGGGUGAACGCUGCAGGCAGCCGUGCACUAACGUUUCUUAAAUUAAUUAGUCUUGACCAUUUUCUCACUCCUCCUACAUGGGGUUUUCACUCCUGUGACUUUAUCCUAGCAGCCCUGUUUAUUGUCAGUGUAUUCACUGAAGCAGCAAAUUGUACAUGAUUAUUGGCUAUUAUUCACUGAGAGUGAAGUGAUAAAUGAAUUAUUAAUUCUCAUUAUUAGCACUGUUGUCCUGUUGCCUGGAGGCCUCACUGAAAUCAGGACCCCGUUGCUUUAGGUGCCACCGCCGCCCUGCUGCAGCCCCCGACAACGCCACCGCCGCCCUCCCACCUCUUCCAGAGACAGUUCCCUCAAAUCCACCACCUCAUGACCAACACAGCUGAAGUUCUAGAGCCAGAGCUCUGCACCCGCACUAAGGACAUUCAGAGGUUUAUCCCUGCUCAGUGACCAGCUCCAGCGCAGCACGGUUUCUGCUGUCCUGUCGCUACACCAGCGUGUUUCAGGAGCAGUCAGGCUCAGAGCAAUUCAAGGGCUCAGUGCAGGUGACAUUAAAGAGGGUCCCUCUGGGUGCCAGCGGUACCUGGGGGGAGCAGCACUGCCAUGCAGUCCCCGUCCCCAGACAAGGCACAGGCAAGUGUUGACAGGAUGAAACACCCUCAGUCACACCCUCUUCCUUCUUGGGGAGCGCUGCACUAGCCAUUAAUUUUAUUUAAGUUCUUUCUUGUAUGGUGUUGUUGAACUAAAUUGAAUUUGUCCACUGGCAAAUUCCCUAGAAACAAAGCUACAAGCACAUGGAGCCUGUGGGAUCAUCAUCAAUUCAAUCCAUACUCCUCUAGUGAAGUUGUGUCGUGAGACAGGGCUAGAUACAUCACUUAGACUGACAGGAGGAGACCUGAUAAAGGCAGAGUGGAGGAGCACAGUCUCCAAACAACUGUCUGUUUCUCUGGGGAGGGAUGUUACUAGCCCCCAGAAAACUAUUUUAAUUCACAGAUGUCCACAAAUGCCCCAGCAGCAGCCCCUUCUGCCGUGGGUGGGGGAGCCUCCGCCAGCACGCUCCUCCUUCCAAACCCACACCCUGGUCAGUUUUGUUCUGCCUUUCACGCCCAUUGUAAAUGCCCUGGAAGCCGAGCAACUCACAUACAAAUCCCAUUUAAAAAUGUCUUUUAGCCUAGAGCCACACCUGGGGCACAAAUCAGGCAGAUGGAACGCUGCUGGUGACGUUCCCGGUCACCUGUGCCACAGAUCCGCAGGCACCGAGCGCGCAGCUGCCGCAGCCGCGAUACACAGCGAGCGCGGCCGAGGGGCGACGGAGCCGGCGAUGCAGACGGGCACCGCGCACCCGCCGCACGCUCUCAUCAUCGCAUACACUGCUGAUUGAUAGUGGUAAUGAUACUUUAAUCAAUAUUAAUAACACUUAAUAUGAGCACUAAAAGGCCCCAUUAUUUUUGCAGUGUAAAGAGCUAUGAGAAAUAAAUAUCCCAUUCCACAUAGCUUGCUGUCCUACACUCAAAGCAAAAGGUAGGUAAAAUAAGUGGCCAGAAAAACCCAAUCAAAGAAUAAGACAAUAUAAUGAAAGAAGUUUUAGUUCAAACCAGCAUUGAUUCGGUGUUUAGCUGUUCCCCUGCCACCCCCUGCCCCAGGCACCUAUUUCCAGCUCAGCCGUGAUCUUGCUGAACAGACGAGAUGUUUUUAACCUUUCUAGGCAAAGGCUUUGUGCAAUCUGUGCAGUUCCUGCUGAGACAGACAUCAAUUCCACACAGGACAAGUUUGCAUAUUCUAGGAGGCCUGGGUUUUAAUAUCACUAUCUGCAAUCAUAAACAAACUACACUUCUCCACUCCCCAGGGGUAAACUGUAGAAAUCAACGUAUCUGUGCAAUGUGCAAGGGCACUCCAGCCAGCACUGCUGCUCCGGCCGCACACCCUUUGCUGAGGGUCAGCUGGGCUUUUUCUAACGCUAGUCUUCAAACAAAAACAAGACUAAGUAUCUUCUGCACUGCAGCCCUUCGCUGCCUUGCUUCUGUGCCACAGCCAGCUCUGGUUUGCAGCAAGAUGCAGCGUCUCAAGGCACGAACCGCAGUGAGAUGUUGAUGUUCGGCUAGGACAGCAUUUCAGAGCCUGCUGGACUCUGCACCGAAAAGAUGCCCCGAGGUUCCUCACCUAUCGAGUCUGUUGGGUCAUAAGAACACUUCACACCCCGCUGAGAGCACAUCAGUCCUUACCUGACACCCCCACAGUGACCAAACACCAACCACCACUCCGGUGUUUCUGUCACCAACAACCACCUCUUGCAGCUGAAUAGAUCUAUCCACGGUCAUUUAAUUUCUUUGGCAUUUGCUGGUCUGUGGCUCAGAGGCUUGUUUGAACCUCACGUCCAGUACCUGAGCCAGGAACCUGAAACGCUGCAGCUGCGGGGAGAGGGGAGGAACCCCCGGUGGAACCGUCCCUGCGCCCCCAGCGGAACUGUCCCGGCAGAACCGCCCCGGCAGAACCGCCCCUGGUGGAACCAUCCCAGCAGAACUGUCCCAGCAGAACUGCCCCUGCGCCCCUGGCAGAACCGCCCCGGCAGAACCGCCCCUGGUGGAACCAUCCCAGCAGAACUGUCCCUGCAGAACUGCCCCUGCGCCCCUGGCAGAACCGCCCCGGCAGAACCGCCCCUGGUGGAACCAUCCCAGCAAAACUGUCCCGGCAGAACUGCCCCUGCGCCCCUGGCAGAACCGCCCCUGGUGGAACCAUCCCGGCAGAACCGCCCCAGCGCCAACCGCGGUUCACGAGCUGAGCAGCAUGAUGGAUAACUCUGGAAACCCACACACACAAAUAAAAUGAGAAAGGCGCCUUGAAAUACGUUGAGGCAGGAAAAUGAAUGAUCUCUCUGUCAACCAUUUCAAAGCAAUCCAGUAAUGUGAACAAUCAGAAGUGAAGAAAAAUCAAUACACUUCUCAUGGUGCAAAAAUGGAAAACAAGCCGGAUUUUACUCCUGCAAAAUCCAUGCAAACAAACCCCAACAGAUUAAUCCCGCCUGUCAGUGAACGUGGCCAUUUCUUCGGAAACGGAACCACCUCCAGAAGAGCGGCCUCAGAUAAUUCUGUGUUCAGUGACAUCUGGUGUCAAAUCCCGCUGGUGUCAGUGGCACACAACUGAGGCUUUACACAGUAGUUACGAACAAUUGUGUGUUAUUUCCAAUAAAUUUAAUUUGUUAAAUAAAAAACGCACCAGGAAGACAUCAAGCAAGCAAACAGAGGGAGAACGUGCCAAAUUCUGCCCAAUCUCUGCUUCUCUGCCUCAUCUCCAGAAGGUGCAGUGGAGCAAAACCAUCCCCGUUAAAAGCAAAGCAAUGCUACUCUGCUAAACAGACAAUGAGAGGCGUGAUUGGAGUGUCCCAAAGCAGCCAUUUCUAUACCCAAAAUCACAACCGACUUCUGACGGCAGGUGUCAGAGGUGAGCUGGCAUCGAGAGGUUCAAGUACGACAUUUCUGCAGUGACUCAGGUGUGGGUCCUUCCCAGACAGGGCGUGAUGGAAACUGCGUGGGGGGAUCAAAGGGGGCUGGGUUGGGGACAGAGGGUAACGCAGCAGUGCAGUUUGUCACACUGCCCAGCGCUCACAGAGUGACACAAUGUGUCUCACCGGUCUCUGCUCCAUGCGUGCACGAAAAACAGAUCUAUGAGUUUUCCUUUACAAACUUUCCUCGCUAUUGGGCAUGUGAAACACAGCCAGGAACGCCAUGGAAAGUAAAGACCAUGGCCCUGGCUGUGAGACGAUGGGAACUGCCAGACAUUUAGUCAGCUCUUGACACUCAGCCAGACCUUUGUUUGUCAUUUUCAGAAGUACACAAUUGUUCUGUGAUGUCCUCCCUGCAUCUUUCAGUGGCAAACACGACAGGCAGCUCCGCUGGGCACGGGGCCGUCCCGCGCCGGGCUCCUCUGAGCACCGUCACAGCCGGUCACCCGGCAGCACAGGUCAGGAAACCGGGACCUUUCACAGCCCGGGCUGUAUCUCAACAUGGACACCCAGCCCAGAGGGUGCACGUGGCGAGGGCUCUGACCUGAGCAGCAGUCACCACCGGCAGAGGGGACCGUGACCACAGGGACACUCACGGCAGCCUCCACCGGCAGAGGGGACGGUGACCACAGGGACACCCAUCCCCCGGCAGCUCUGGGCAGGGCAGUGGUCCUGUGUGCAAUGUGGGAAGUGAGGGAACGCUGGAAGAAUUGCAAACAAGCCUCAUUUGGUCCUUCUAGUUGGGAAAAAAAAAAAAAAUCUUUGAAAUUGUAGCAUUUGGUAAAGAUGUAAAGGAAACUGUAUUAACACUGUGAAAACAAACCUGCCUUUUUCAGCUCGCCACACGCUGUUGGUGCUGAACUUUGCCCGAGAGCAGCUGUUCUGUUUCAGAGAAGCAGUUUUUGAGGUCUCUUGCAGCACCUCCGACAUUGCAAAAAAAAGGAAGAUCUUCCCAUUUUAGUCAAGCACGUGAGUUCCGAGGCAGAGCGAUGGCGGGUGGCCAGCAGAGCCUGUCUCUGCCGAGGCGAUGCUGCCGCUCCGUGGCCCCCGCGCCGGUGUCCUGAGCCGGCCCCAGCACCACCGAGCCCCGGGGCCUGUGUCCACUCGCUGGUCCUGAGCCGGCCCCAGCACCACCGAGCCCUGGGGCCUGUGUCCACUCGCUGGUCCUGAGCCGGCCCCAGCACCACCGAGCCCCGGGGCCUGUGUCCACUCGCUGGUCCUGAGCCGGCCCCAGCACCACCGAGCCCCGGGGCCUGUGUCCGCUCGCCGGAGCGGAACGCUGCACACCCACCCUCCUCUUCCCUGCCUCCUAUCCUCAAGCAGCAAACUGAGAUUACAGAGAAGACAUCUGAACAAACAGCUUCUCCUGCCUUCCAAAAUAAACUCUAAAGCUCGUCAAAGUAGCUGUAAACACAUCAUUUUCAUAUAGUGCGUAUUAAGGGAUGAACUACAGCAGGGCCACGUAAGGCAUAUCUGGUAACACAGAUCGAGCCAUGGAAGCGCUUCUGCAAACCCCGCGAGUCGCGUCCCGCUGCGGGCAGGACGGCAGGAACGGCUCCGCCGCUCCACGGGGAACAGAGGAGCCCGCUCCAGAGCACCAUCUCCAUGGCGACCGCAGGAGCUUUCCCGGAAAACGCGGGGUUUGGGCACAAGUGAUGCAGGAAAUGAAGCAGCUGCGGAAAAACCUUUUCAAUUAUUCAGCUGGAACAAACAGUCAAAAGCGAUGUUUCUAAACCAAUGGGCAGCAAUAGUAUCCUUCCUGGAAACCUGGAUAAGACACUACGUGCUGAGAGCCGGCUGUGCCACCCGCAGCCAAGACCUGAUCCUGUUUUAAGGUAAAGGGCGUUUGUCCUCAGGCUGACACCACCAGCAGAAAGUGCCCUGACGUUCCCAAGUGCGUGAUUUCCAAACCCCCUUGCUGACCAACGUCACCUCUCCACACACCUCAAUCCUAACAGCAUUCUGAGGCAGAAAAAAUGGCAACACCAUUUCCAGGAGGAAUACAGCCAAACUCAUUAAACUAAUAAAGUAAUGUAAAUAGCACAAUGACUGCUUUUGCAGUAUACAGCACCAAAGUCCGUAAAGCUCAUCUGAAAACUGGUUGCUACCUGUAAGGAUGCCGUGUUACAGCAGUGGAAACCUCGCUGCGAUUAUUAAAGGUGAAAAAUUCUACAGCUAAGUAUAGUUGCCAUUGUACUCAUUGUCCAGCAAUAUCGCAACAAGAAAGCCAUUCUUUUUUCCCUUGAAUUGCUUACACUACUCAUUGCUUUGUCAUUCCCGAUUUUGCAGGAGCGUUCUGCAGAAGCAGCCCUGGCUCAUACCUGGAAAGCAUAAUGCAUAUGAAAAGCACUGCUUAAAUAAGACAACUGAUGCAUGGCAAGAGAAACAUCAAAUUACCACUGAAAUGCUGACAAUGCAAGCAGGUCAGCAUGCACCGGUGAACUGCACCCCUGCACGUGUCGGCCGUCCCCACCUUUGGGGGCUCUGACAGUUUCCAUGAGCUGAUAACUCAGCUGCGCAGCCUGGACACACUUAUCGUGUUUUCUGUGAUAACUUCCACCAGCCGCUGUGGUUUGUGCGAGAGCUCUGCGGGCAACGGGCUGGAAAAGCGCAGCUCACAGCCCCAGCCGCGGUGCCGGGACGGGCCCGGAGCGCCCGCUGCGCACCCGCGCCCCGGGCAGCACAAACACCCGGUGAGUCCGUCCUGAGGGCAGCUCAGCGGAAACCUCAAUAACCGGGAAAGAGGAACCAUCACCUUGUGAAGCUGGAACGGCCGCCGCCCAGCGUUACCCAGUGCCAGCCUGGUCUGUGGAAGCAAGCUGAGGAUUUGCUUUCAUUCCUGUAUUUCCAGUGCCACCUUCUGUUCAGAAGAGGAAACCUCCGUUUCGGGAGCUGCAAGGAACGAGAGUGGCAAGUUCUUGCCCACCCCCGCAGGAACGCAGUACCUACCGAAACUAAAUACUGAAAGAUUUACAUUUGCAGUAGCUCAACAGCAUAUUGAGCUGUGCGCUUCAGACACCCACAUGUGCCAAAAGCUUCUAAUUUUACAAGGAAAGUACAUCAGCUUCAUGUUUUCCAUAAAUCCAUACGGCUUCUGGGAUGACAGGCAAUGGGUCAGAGAAAUCAACAUCAAUUAUUAUUAAAAAAAACCCAAAACUUUGAGACCUUUUCAGCAGGACGAUGUAGAUUAAACCUGCCUUUUCCUCCACACCUGCGCUGGGGCAUUACAAAUUCAUAUCCUGGUUUUAUGCAUUGAAACAGUUGUCACCUCCACAUCACAUCCCAACACUUGGCUUCUGGACUUCGUGAUUAUGCACCUCAGUCUGCUUGUAAAGGCCUCCCGAGUUCGCAAAUAGCUUAACCCAGCCUUUUAACAUACUGCAAGACAAACGCGUUUAUUACAAAGCACGUGUUCUCCCUCCCGUUGAGGGUUACACAUACAUUGCAGGAGCUAAUGACUUCAAAACAGCUUCUCAAAAACAUGGGGUUUUUUAUAUGUACUUCCAUGCCAUCAUUGCUAAACGCCCUCACAGCAACAGUUGUCAGCGAAGCUUUAACACGGCCAUGCCCGUUAAGCCUCACCUCAGCUUUUGGGCAGACAGGGCCCCCUCCCGGCGCUCGCACGGAGCGCGGGCGCUGUGCCGUGAGCUGCCCUCCUGCCGCUAAAGGAGAAGUUUCGGGUUUAGAAAACAAGAGGCUGGUUCCUGUGCGAAAGGGCUACAAGUCAGGGUGAGAACACGAGAGCGGGGCUCCCGGUCCGUCUCCAGACCACAAACCCGCAUUGCUUAACGCGCCGCCCGCAGGGCCCGGUGUUACCUGAUCGAGACACGCAGCUGCAGCGCCCCAAAGCAGCGGGAAAGGGGCUGAGGCCAGGCAGCCCCGCCGCGGGGCCGGCGCUGCAGCAGGGCGCCCGGCCCGGCCCGCGCAGCGUGCCCCGCUCGGCGACACAGCGCGCGGCCAGCAGCGCUAAACCCCGCGCGUGGCUGCCGGGCGCCGCACAGCGCAGCGCUGCUGCCCACGAACCCCCUGCCCCGGCCCCCCUCCCCUCGGCCCACAGCAGCCUCUCCACAUCCCUUCCUAAAGAAAAUGGAUUUAAAGGGAUUACGUACUGCUUCAGGUGCACUUUACUGAGACCGUAGAGCCAGACUACAUCCAAGCAGAUAAAAUAUGGCAAAAACUCAGCCUAGAAACCAGGAAAGGCUUUUUUUAAAGUUAAAUACCUUCCCUGAGCCCCAGUGCACGCAGCACUGCCUGACCUCGCUGCUGCCCUCCAGCUGCCCUUUAUCACCUCGUUAGCGGGUUAAUUGGGCCACUCAGCUGAGUGCAAUUUGCCACCCGAGGCUUUUGGCCUGUGCACGUUCCCCCACAGCUUUCCGGUUUGCAAUGACUUCCAAAGCAACGCUCGGUGCGCUGGGAAGGAAAAGCUGUUUCAUUAAAUCUUCUAUUGCAAUAAGAGUUAUUAAGAAGUUAUUACAUCUGUUAUAGAUUUAUAGGCUGGUUUGGGUUAGAAGCACCUUCAAGACCAUUCCGUUUCCCCCACCAUGGGCAGGGACACCUCCCAGCAGCCCAGGUUGCUCCGAGCCCCGUCCAUCCCCAGCUGCUCUGGGCAGCCUGUGCCAGGGCCUCCCCCUCCUGGGGAACAAUCCCUUACAUCUCACCUAAAUUUCCCCUCUUUCAGUUUAAUUACCCCGUUUCCUGUCACUUCAGGCCCUGGUAACAAGUCUCUCUCCAGCUUUCUCAUAAGCUCCCUUUAUAUAUUGAAAGGCCACGAUAAGGUGUCCCGGAGCGUCCCCUUGUCCGGCCGAAGACCAGCUGCUCCGCCUGUCCCAGGAGGGCGGGUGGCGGGUGUCGCAGGCGGCCGCGGGGACCCGGGCGGGGCGGUGGGAGCGGGGGCGCUCGGGCCUGCAGUUCAGCCUGGGGGCACUAGAGGGCAGCUGGUCCCCGGUGUCCCCGCUGGUGUCCCCGCUGUCCCCAGCGCAGCUGCUGCUCCGCUCCGAGCGCCCGUGCGGUGUCACAGAGACCCCUCCAUAAAAACAGCUUUGAAAUGUGAGAGGGUUUUUGUCUUGGGCAGCAUAGGAGAUAAUCUUUGCAGAGGGGAUUGAAUGAGGACAUCAUUUCCGACCCAGUGUAGCGGAAACCUCAUGCCAGGGCGUUUGGGGCAAAGCUAAAUUUGCCCCUUAGCUCAGUGGACUCCAGUGAAACGUCCCGCAGCCCCACGGCGUUUGCGGGGUCACUCCUGCCAGCCGGGCCUGGUCUCACCUGUCCCUUCAGCGACCUGGCCAGCAGCGGCUCUGGCUCCGUCCCCGUCCCUGUGCGGUGGCAGCAGCGCUGGGUCCCAUGUCUCUGCUGCUGGUCUUCUGUUCACGGGCAGAAGCUCCUCCAUCCCCUGGCUGCUGCUGCUCCUCAUCCUCGCCAGCGCCCUGUGGUACCAUCACCAGGUAAAACAAUGGCGGGUGCCGACCCCAGCUGUGGGGACGGAAGGUCUGGGCUGGGGCGGCUCUGCCGUGCCAGCCGUCCCCAUGGCGGUGGCCUCUCCCCAGGACCCGUGUCACCACGAUGGGUAACGGGAGGUGGCAGCUGUGCUUUGCCUUCAUUUAGCCACGGGCUCUUUUUGUUCCCUUUUCCCCACCCUGGUGAGGAGCACCGCAAGUCAGAUGUGGGGUUUAUCUUCCAUUACCUGAAGCACAUUUGGUGCUUUCCAUUCUACUCUUUGCUAAUUCUUUGGUGCUUUACCCUCCAGCCCAAACCUCCCUAGAGACGGGACGGCCGGUGCCAGCCAGGCAAGGAGCAGAGCUCCCCCAAAGAGUACGCAAAAAACAUUGGGUGCCAAGUCUGGGAAGGAGGCUUUCCAGGGGCUGUUUGUUCAUUUUAAUGUUUUGUUCCAUUCUACCCUCCUUUGGGUAUAAAAGGGGUGACAGAUGGUUUUUCUAACCAACAAAGAAAAAACAAAGCCACACAAAGACAAAUGUAUUUAUUCUGCUUCAUUGUGACAACAACAACAGCAAAGUAGGAAUGAAAAACCCAAGAGAGGAGCAGUAUCCCCAGCAGAGUGCCAGAGCCCCACAGUUAAUCCCUGUGCGGCAGGACAGCCAUGCCGGCGGUGCCAGCGCCCGUGCCGCGCUCGCCGCUGCUCCCGGCGGGUUCUGCCGUGCUCAGGGACCCGGCGCCCGACCGUGGCCGGAGGACGGACGCGGCUUCAGCUGGGGCUGACUCACUUCACUUUAGCCAGAGAUGGGACUUGGUGACACAGAUUCAGUGCUGACUCAUCAUCUUGUGGACAAGGGGAGAAUCUGGGCUUGGUAAUCAAGAAGAAUUUUUACACCAAUGAAGAUUCAUGAGGAGAAAUGGAAUGUUGCCAGUUCAGUUUUGUUCUUCAUCUGCCAUUCCUGGUGGUGACGGUGUAUCCGAUGAACACGCCCCCGUGGCUCGGGCUCUCGGGGGCAGGAUGGCGCAGCCGGAGCACAGUCCUGGCUCUUCGGGGGGCACGGGCAGCAGCGCAGGUGCCGCAAAGCGCCUUCCCGGGGCAGGGGGCACUCGGCUUUGCUGCACAUGGGGGAACAGCAGCUGCCCGGGACCCAUCACAGCCCCCAGGUGCCCCCAGCCCCCAGCCCGGGCUGUGACCGGUCCUGCCAGAGCUUCCCCGCGGUGCCGAUCGGGGGUCACGCCGGGACUGCCGGAACCAGGCACCUGAGCCGGGCUGCUGCAUUAUAGAGAGCGAAAACGUUCCUCAUGGUGGAAUAUUUUUGCUGGCAAAGGCAAGUAUUUUAUUCUCACAGGUAUAAAUUAAUGGGUUCAUUCUCCUUGUCACAAAAUGUUAAAAAAAUAACACUAAUAGCUUUGUGCUUCAUUCAGCCUGAGCUGUGGGGAAAAUGUACCAGCCACGCUGCCUCCAAACAAUAACAGCUUUUUCCUUAGUGUCCUGGGAGGAAGAGAUCUGGGAAAUUAGGGGGAUUUGAAAGGAGCCUGAGGAGCUGGAGAGAGAAAAUCCAAUUUCAUAGUUAGCGCACGGAGGACGCCCAAAGGCAGCCGAGAUGCCAGAGGCUGCCGACCCAAGGUAAGCUGAGCUGGUUUAGACAAAUUGACUUGCUGCCUGUUUACUUACCGCAUGUGGGCUGGCUGCUCACAGGGACCGGUUUACAUUGAGCUUUGUGUGAUGCUAAUUCUAGUUCAAACCAAGCAGUUCGCUUGAUUAAAAUCGCUGUGCUGUGUAACAGAGAGGCCGGGUCCCCCGCUGCCCCAUCCCAGCGCUGGGAACAGCAGCAGAGGUGUCCCCACCUGCACCUCCUUGUGCUCCAAUCCCUGCGACUCGGGUCUGUGACUCAGGGGACAUUGCCCAGAGUGACACAGGGACAGCUCUGCCCCGGCUGUGCCGCUGCGCAGCUUCCACGGGGAUGCCGGAGCCUUCACCGCCUGUUCCUGAAAGCUCAGCCACAUCACGGACAUACACGGCGUAGUACACAUAUGGACACAAAAUAUGUUAUUUAUUGUGAAUUUUGCAAAGACACAUUUAAGCAACAAAAUAUACAUUUGUGAACCUUUAGUUUUAUACAUAACAAAUACAAUCUGCUACCAUAGCAAUAAAUUAAAUGUACAUUAUUUACAACAGACAUAGGCCACCAGGAACUACAAAGCACCACUUCUCUACAUAAAAAAUAAACUUUGUCAGAUACA